rnacentral:rRNA from 1 species
GAGUUUGAUCAUGGCUCAGGAUGAACGCUGGCGGCGUGCUUAACACAUGCAAGUCGAACGAGGAAUUUUAAAUGAGACUUCGGUGGAUUUUAAAAUUCUUAGUGGCGGACGGGUGAGUAACGCGUGGGCAACCUGCCCUGUACAGGGGGACAACAGCUGGAAACGGCUGCUAAUACCGCAUAAGACCACGGAGCCGCAUGGCUCAGUGGGAAAAACUCCGGUGGUACAGGAUGGGCCCGCGUUGGAUUAGGUAGUUGGUGAGGUAACGGCCCACCAAGCCGACGAUCCAUAGCCGACCUGAGAGGGUGACCGGCCACGUUGGGACUGAGACACGGCCCAAACUCCUACGGGAGGCAGCAGUGGGGAAUCUUCCGCAAUGGGCGAAAGCCUGACGGAGCAACGCCGCGUGAGUGAAGAAUUAUUUCGGUAUGUAAAGCUCUAUCAGCAGGGAAGAAAAUGACGGUACCUGACUAAGAAGCCCGGCUAACUACGUGCCAGCAGCCGCCGUAAU